UGGGGAAUCUUCCGCAAUGGACGAAAGUCUGACGGAGCAACGCCGCGUGAGUGAAGACGGCCUUCGGGUUGUAAAGCUCUGUUAUUCGGGAAGAACGAUUCGUUUGUGAACAAUGAACGGAAGUGACGGUACCGAAAGAGAAAGCCACGGCUAACUACGUGCCAGCAGCCGCGGUAAUACGUAGGUGGCAAGCGUUGUCCGGAAUUAUUGGGCGUAAAGAGCGCGUAGGCGGUAUGGUAAGUCUGUCUUAGAAGUGCGGGGCUUAACCCCGUGAGGGGACAGAGACUGUCAUACUGGAGUCUCGGAGAGGAAAGCGGAAUUCCUAGUGUAGCGGUGAAAUGCGUAGAGAUUAGGAAGAACACCGGUGGCGAAGGCGGCUUUCUGGACGAGCACUGACGCUGAGGCGCGAAAGCGUGGGGAGCGAACAGG
rnacentral:rRNA from 2 species